CAAUAGCGUAUAUUAACGUUGUUGCAGUUAAAAAGCUCGUAGUUGGAUUUCUGUCAAGGACAACUGGUCCGCCCUCCGGGUGAGCACAUAGUUUGGUCUUGACAUCUUGCUGGAAGCUGUUGCUGCACUUGGCUGUGUGGCGCAGUGUUCAGCACUUUCACUUUGAGGAAAUUGGAGUGUUUCAAGCAGGCACAUGCCUUUGGACACAGUAGCAUGGAAUAAUUAGAUUGGGCUUUUGCUCCAAUUUGUCGGUUUCUGGAGCUGAGGUGAGUAUUAAUGGGGAUUGUUGGGGGCAUCCGAAUUUAGCCGUCAGAGGUGAAAUUCUUGGAUCUGCUAAAGACGGACAACUGCGAAAGCGUUUGCCCAGGAUGUUUUCAUUGA
rnacentral:rRNA from 1 species